UGUUGCUUGCAAGGGCGUAUGGUGGAUGCCUUGGCAGACAGGACCGAUGAAGGACGUUUGAGGCUGCGAUAUGCCUCGGGGAGCCGCCAACAGGGCUUUGAUCCGAGGAUUUCCGAAUGGGGGAACCCACCGACCGUCAUGGGUCGGUACCGGCUUCGGCCGGGGGGUACGCAGGGAAGUGAAACAUCUCAGUACCUGCAGGAAAGGAUAUUCCGUGAGUAGUGGCGAGCGAAAGCGGAUGAUGGCCAAACCUUGCGCGUGUGAUACCCGUCGGGGGUUGCGCGCGGGGUGUUGCGGGAUCGCGUGCGCCGGCUCCGACGGGCCGGCCGGCAGUUGCAGAAAACCAUGUGUCAGGGGAACCGGGUUGAAUACCGGGCCGCAGAGGGUGAGGGCCCCGUACCUGAACGCGCAUGGUCUGCCGAUCGCGUCUCCCAAGUAGCACGGGUCCCGUGGAACCCCGUGCGAAUCCGCCCAGACCGUUGGGUAAGCCUGAAUAUUCCUGUCUGACCGAUAGCGAACGAGUACCGUGAGGGAAAGGUGAAAAGUACCCCGGGAGGGGAGUGAAACAGUCUCUGAAACCGUGCGCCUACAAUCCGUCGGAGCCCUUUUGUGGGGUGACGGCGUGCCUAUCGAAAAAUGAGUCUGCGAGUCAGUGGCAUGUGGCGAGCAUAACCCGUGUGGGGUAUGCGUAGCGAAGGCGAGUCUUAAAAGGCGUUUGAGUCGCGUGUCCUGGACCCGAAGCGGGAUGAUCUAGCCCUGAGCAGGUUGAAGCGCGGGUAAGACCGCGUGGAGGACCGAACCCACCUGGGUUGAAAACCGGGGGGAUGACUUGGGGCUAGGGGUGAAAGGCCAAUCAAAUUCCGUGAUAGCUGGUUCUCUCCGAAAUGCAUUUGGGUGCAGCGUCGGGUCAUUACGUCCCGGGGGUAGAGCUACUGGAUGCUUGCGGGCCCGUAUCGGGUACCAACAGCAACCAAACUCCGAAUACCGGUGACGCGUAUCCCGGCAGUGAGUCGGCGGGGGAUAAGCUUCGUCGUCGAAAGGGAAACAGCCCAGACCGUCGUCUAAGGUCCCGAAGCGUGUGCUAAGUGGGAAAGGAUGUGGAGUCGCAUAGACAGCCAGGAGGUUGGCUCAGAAGCAGCCACCCUUGAAAGAGUGCGUAACAGCUCACUGGUCUAGUGGUUCCGCGCCGACAAUGUAGCGGGGCUCAAGCACACCACCGAAGACGCGGCAGUAUUUUGUACUGGGUAGGAGAGCGUCCCAUGAGGGGCGAAGCGGCCGUGUGAACGCGCCGUGGACUUCAUGGGAGUGAGAAUGCAGACAUGAGUAGCGAGAGACGGGUGAAGAUCCCGUCCGCUGGAUGACCAAGGGUUCCAGGGCCACGUUCAUCGUCCCUGGGUGAGUCGGGUCCUAAGGCGAGGCCGACAGGCGUAGUCGAAUGGAUGAACGGGUCGAUAUUCCCGUACCGGCUUUCAGCCGCCAAAACCGAGGCUUGGAGUACUAACCUCCGGGUCCGGGCUUACUGCUCCUUCGGGGGCGGGAUGCCCUGGCCUGUUGGGACCGAUCCUUGUAGUAGGUCAGCGCAGGAGUGACGCAGAAGGGUAGCCGGCCGCGGAGGUGGUCUUCCGUGGUCAAGCACGCAGGGCGUGGGACAGGCAAAUCCGUCCCGCAUGGGUCCGAGGUGCGAUGAUGGGGGCCUUAUGGCCCGAUAUCCGGUGAUCCCGGCUGCCGAGAAAAGCUUCGGCGUCAGGCUCGAAGCCGCCCGUACCCCAAACCGACACUGGUGGUCAGGUAGAGAAUACCAAAGCGAUCGAGCGAAUCCUGGUCAAGGAACUCGGCAAAUCACUCCCGUUCCUUCGGUUUAAGGGAGACCCCCGAUGGUGAACACACUUGCUGUGGGAGCUUUUGGGGGUGGCACAGACCAGGGGGUAGCGACUGUUUACCAAAAACACAGGUGCAUGCGAAGGCGCAAGCCGCUGUAUAUGCACUGACGCCUGCCCGGUGCCGGAAGGUUAAGAGGAUCCGUCAGCCUUCGGGUGAAGCGGUGAAUUCAAGCCCCGGUAAACGGCGGUGGUAACUAUAACCAUCCUAAGGUAGCGAAAUUCCUUGUCGGGUAAGUUCCGACCUGCACGAAUGGCGUAA
rnacentral:rRNA from 1 species